AUAAAACACGAAAUAAAGUGUUUUUCCAGUAAUACUGUACAUAUCAGGAAAAAAAAAAUCACCGGAGUGUUUCCAACAUAAUAACCAAAUAACAUCUCCAUCAUUUGUUUCAGACAUGGUAACCAAAAAUGAUAUGUGGACCUUGUUUGGAUCCUGAUUUAGACAAAAUAACUAUAAAGGGACAUCUUUAGUACAGUCAGAGAAAAGGGUAUGCGGAAUGUGCACUAUAUAAUAUUAACGAUCUGUGGUGUGACAAAACCAUGCCUGUUAUGUCAAAGACAGUUCUCACUAGUUAGAGAUGCAUACCAAAUAGCUUUUAAACAGCAUGUUUAGUAUUCGCUUUAAAAUACUAAAAAAUGUAUAAGGGCAAGAAAAGUUUAUAACCUUUGGCAAAAUAUUGAUACUCAGUUUAGCAAAGCAAAGGGUAUAUAUUGUUCAUUAUAUUGUUUCAAUGUAGGUAGGUGUAAAUAUUUUCAUGAAAAGAACUUUAAAAUACAUAGCGUUGUUGGGGAGCAAUCUGUCAGUCAUUCUUACAGCGGGAAACUAUCCAGGAAUUUAAGUAACUAACUCCAAGAGACUCUGGUGACUUUGCACAUUUUUAUUUCGCUGUGUUUAACCCAACACCCGACACAAUCAUCACUUAGAACCCACCCUCAGUUGCAUAAUGUCUCACUGCUUCAUAUGCCACAGAAACCUACUGAAUUUUUACUUCUCUUUUUCCAAGGACCCCAGCAUUAUGACUCACAGUAUCUGGUUUAAAGGAUGCUAGGGCAAACACCAUAGAUAGUCACUAACCCAAAAGAAUAUAUUCUCUCCCCUGUUUUUAAGAAAAUUUAUUAGUACUGUACGUGUUUGCAGUCUGUAAGGUUUACACUCCUUGUAUGAAGUUGGUACAUGUACAUAACACAUCUUAAUUCCUUUUCUCAUCCCUUUUCCUUCCCACCUCUCCUCCUUCCCUGAACCUCUUGAUCCCCUCCCCCUUUGACAAGGGUCCCUGCUUCCUAUUAUUUCUCUUAUCCUGAAUGUGACUAACAGCCCUGUAGGAAGGAUAGAUUCAUUUUUCAUUGAUAGCUGAACUGGAUCCACUCCUCAGUGUCAUGGACUAGAGCUGAUGUGAAUAAAAUCUUCCUUUAAUAAAUACACAGGGCUCAGGGAAGUGGAGACAGAUAUGAUCUGGGGUAGACAUCAUCUAAGAGCUAAGAGUAAAGAAAGACAGUAGUCAAAGAUGGACCAGUUAUAUGAAUUUUAGAGUUAGUUACUACCAAGUCUUCUUCUCAUACUCAUCGCUGUCUCCCCACUUUUGUUUCCAUUUUCCUAGACAAGUUCUUCUUACUGACUCCUUCGGUUGAUUCAAAGCCUCUAACCUUGGUUAUCCCUAUUAGCAUGUUCAAAAAUCAUCCCUUGAAAGCAUAAAAUCCAAGUUACAUUCUUGUGCUUGAUAUGGUGGAAUCAGAACCUCCAAAGAAGACCUGUACUCACUUAGCCUUCAGUCACCAUUAUGCCCUCCCUUCCACUGCUGGGUGCCUCUUUUGACUUGUGGGUUGCUUCCACAACUUCUCCAUUAGUCUUUUCACUUGGAAUCACUUCUCUGCUCAACAAACACCAUGGGAAGCUUCUAGAUUUCUAUAAGCACUUCUCUACCACACCACUCCCUGUCUAAAUAAACACCAUUCACCCAUUAUUCCAGAUUUUGCAAAUCGCUCUAUGUGUCUACCUUCCCUCUGACCAGUGCUUUUUUUUUUUAACACAUGAAAUUAAACCAGCUGAGCCAAUUGAAAAUCUCUGAAAAUAGUCUGUACUUUGGAGUCUCCCUUCUUUGGUUUGUGAUGUUUCUAUUCUUUAAACUCUUUCCAAACAUUUCUACUGGAGAUAACUUCCAAUUUUUCCUUUCAUCUCUUAUUAUGAAGUCUUUCUGGUCUUUUUCAGAAUUAUCCUCUUUCUCUGCAAAUUUCUGUAGUUCUUCUUGGAUAUUUUUCUAGUUACAUAUUAGCACAUGGUACGAACUUCAUUUCUCCAAUUAACAUUAAGUACUUUGAAAGCUCAGUUUGUCUGGUUUAUUUAUUUAUUUUUGGUGCUGGGGAUCGAACUAAAGACCUUGUAUGUUACAUUUAAUCUUCUCAAUUCUAUAAUUUUACAGAUGAGGAAACUAAAUCUUGGUCACAUUAUGUACAUUUUUCCUUUUUUUUUUUUGGCAUUGGGCAUUGAACUUGGGACCUUCUGCAGGUGGUGGAACCACUGAGCUAAAUCCCUGGCCUGCCCUGUACUUUGUUUGUAAUGGUCUAUCAGAGACUCAAAUGCAUAUCUACCCAAAGUGAACUCUUUUUGCUUUUUUAUUAUUUAAUGUGUCUGGGAAGCACUGGAGUUUCAAGGACAUACCUCAAAGAGGUUUUAAAAACAAUUUUAAAAAAUAGAAUAACAAAUAUAAUCAAAUAGAUGGUAUUUCCACUCCUCAUUCCUCAUUUAAUGAAGAAAUUUUUCUUUCAUUGUUUUAUGCAGUGAAUUUUUAAUUUUUGCCUUGACUACCUAGAAGACAGUACAUUUAUGUUAUUUGUCAUUGUUUCCUUUGUUACCGAUUUUUUCACUUAGUGAUUUCACGUAUUUAAAUAAAUUGCGUGAAUGAGUUGAAAUCUAUAACUUUCACUUAAUUUACCAAAAAUAAUUCUUAAGUAAAAAUGAGAAGUUACAUUUCCUUCCCAAAUGUGGGCAUGUGACAACCCUACACGCCUUAGACAAUGCUUCAUGUUCUAACAUCUAUCUUCUUAUCCACUUCCGUGACUGUGCUCAGAACAGCCUUCUGAUUCUAAAGAGAAAAUUGACUUAGUUGAUGGCUUCAAUUUCCACUUGCUUCAUAUGGUUUUGAUUCUUUCCAGAAAUCUUUCCAAUCUGCAAGGAUGAGGCAAUUGUGAGAAUACUUAAAAUGUAGUUCUCCAAAGCCAACUGCAAAAUUGAUUUUUAAAAUUAUGUGGGAAAUGCAUGGCUUCCUGAGAUAGUCACUUAAGAGAGUACAUUUGAAUGUGCGAACUCUGAUUUGUGUGUUGCAUACAUAUGUGAAUAUCUGAAUAUUUUUCUGCCAUGUAUACAUAUCUGUAUAUUGUGCUAUACAUAUUUCUAUUUCCCUAGCUAUACUUGUAUUCUAAAUAUUAUGCAACUACAAUAUAUCAGAAAUUUCACAAAGAUUUGAAAAGGAACAAUUUCUUCUGGGACAGGGUAGCCAGCAGUGUUUACAUGAAGAAAGUGUGGCGUUGAGCUGUCCACAGAGCCUGGGCAGAGUCCAGGGUAUUAACUUAGGGGUAUUCCAGAUUAGGUAUUCAAAUGCAUUUUCUAGAAUGCUUCCCAUAAGGUGCUGCUGUGGACAGAAUGGGGAAGAGGCAGAAUUGAUGAUUAAAUAUGCUGGUAAAAUUAGUCUCUUGGCGACUUCUGGAAGAUGAUAGCACAUUAAAGACUCAGAAACACAUGUCAAGGAAAGAAAAAGUCAUUUUAUGCUCCAAACACCUUUUAUAAUGAUUCAUCCUUCUUUUCUUUACCUACCCUUUACUAGCACUCCAUUAUCCAUGUUAAGUAGAACUGUAAUAUUUAGGCUGAAGGUCCCUUAUAUUCCCUCCAACAAAUAAAUACAUUUUUAUGCCUUAAACAGUUUCCUGCGUUUUUAUUCAGUUUGUCAUUUAAAAAUUGUAAAACUAUAGCAAAUUUUUUAAUCUCCUUGAGUGUUAGCUUCCUUGGUGUAAAAUAGGGAUAGCCUAACACCUAUUUAUAAGGUAGCUGAAAAGUAAGAGUCCCUCCAUGUAGGCAGGGACUGUGUUUGCUCCCUGUGUGCUGUGGUCUCUGCAAUUCCAUUAGCCUAGCUGUGAAGCACUGCUAUUUCCACGCCACCUAAUUUUGCCCUCGGUAGUUUUCUGCUACAAGAAUAUUAUGUAAAUGAGCACACAAUGCUGUAGAGAGGUAAAUGUUUCUCUACAUCAAACACUAAAUAAGCCCGGGACACUAAGUACCUAAAGUAGCGCGUGUCCAAGGUCCUUGGCUCCCAGAUGCAAAGUGCACAACGCCUCCAAGGCUGCUCUGCGCAGUGGGUGUCUAUGCCUGUGAGGUCUGGGACCUUUUCCUUCUGUGUUGCUUUUUGUGAGUUUAAGAAAAAAAAUAUAAAUUCCUUCUCACUUCUACAGGAUCAUUCAUGUCAUAAGGAAAGAGAAAAAAAGGUAUAUGGGUAUUAUUUAAGUUAUGCUUUAAAGGACAACACUGGGGACUCGCAGUGGGUGGAGCUCAUGGCAGAGCACAGACCAGGUGCUUGGUUCAUCCCCAGCUCCACAUUUAAAAAGUAGCAUGUAGUAACUGCAAUGAGAUGCUUCAUUACACGGUGUCAAUUUGUCCAUUAUUAAAGAAGAUGAUUCUUCUGGUGUCCUAAAUUUAUAAAUAUGUGAAAAAUAUGGCAGUUGUGACCUAGCUUCUGUAAGUUCGAAGAAGUCCUUGAAGUUCGUGUCAUCCAUACUUCACUCUCUCUGCAGUUUAUUGGGCACCAGUCUCCUCUGUAUUUAACUUUUUUAUCAAGAAAGAACAGGAGAAAAAUAAUAUGUACAGUAUGUAUUUAAAUAUGCAAUGUCUGUUAUUUUUAUAACCUUUACUUUUAUGAUGCAAGGAUAAAAUUAGAUCAUUAAGAAAUGAUGGUUCAAGUGCUCUAUAAAUGGCAAAUCAUUAUGCCAUAUGUUAUCUGAUCAUAACAAUAAAUUGAUAUAUGGAAAUUUUUAUACUUUGUUUUAUAAUUUUACCUGUUUCAUAUCUCAAAUGGGGGAUCAACCUCAGGCAGUAUUUUCACAAACAGAUAUCAAUAAUUCAAUAAGGCAUGAUGUUUAUGUAAGUUAAUGUACAAUUAUCUAUGAUUAUAUAAAUUAUAUAUAAUCAUAGAUAAUUAUAUAACAUAAAUAUUGAACUCUGACAUUUGCUUUCCAUCUCUCUGUGCCAUAGUAAUGAAUUCUGUUCAGUAUUUGUUGUGACACAAAAGAUUUUAUAAAAUCAAUUCUAAGAUGUACU
ensembl:lncRNA